CUACGGGCGGCUGCAGUGGGGAAUAUUGCACAAUGGGCGAAAGCCUGAUGCAGCGACGCCGCGUGAGCGAAGAAGGUUUUCGGAUCGUAAAGCUCUGUCCUAUGGGAAGAAAAUGACGGUACCAUAGGAGGAAGCCCCGGCUAACUACGUGCCAGCAGCCGCGGUAAUACGUAGGGGGCGAGCGUUGUCCGGAUUUACUGGGCGUAAAGGGUGAGUAGGCGGUAACGUGUGUCAGAUGUGAAAGGCGAGGGCUAAACCCUCGUAAGCAUUUGAAACUGCGUAACUUGAGUGCAGGAGAGGUAAGCGGAAUUCCUAGUGUAGCGGUGAAAUGCGUAGAUAUUAGGAGGAACACCGGUGGCGAAGGCGGCUUACUGGACUGUAACUGACGCUGAGACACGAAAGCGUGGGGAGCAAACAGGAUUAGAUACCCUAGUAGUC
rnacentral:rRNA from 1 species